rnacentral:rRNA from 1 species
UACGUAGGGUGCGAGCGUUAAUCGGAAUUACUGGGCGUAAAGGGUGCGCAGGCGGUUGUUUAAGUCAGCUGUGAAAUCCCCGGGCUUAACCUGGGAAUGGCAGUUGAGACUGGACGGCUAGAGUGUGUCAGAGGGGGGUAGAAUUCCACGUGUAGCAGUGAAAUGCGUAGAUAUCGAGAGGAACACCUGCGGCGAAGGCGGGUUGCUGGGCUGACACUGACGCUGAGGCGCGAAAGCCAGGGGAGCGAACGGG